UCAGACAUCGACGAAUGUUCACAAGCAAACAUGUGUCACGCUGACGCAACAUGUACUAAUACACCAGGAUCAUACCUAUGCACUUGCAACACUGGUUACACAGGCAAUGGAACGUAUUGCGUAGGUCAGUAAACAACAAUAAAAUAAAUAAAUGAAAAUAUUAAACGGAAAAUGGGAAAAUUUAGUGGGAAAACUUACAUUGUCAUACGACGAGGUAUGAGCAAGGUUAACGCCCGUUUACACGGGCGAUUUUUGCUGCGAUUGUAGUUGUGAUUUUCUCCUUUUGACGGAUGCCGAGGAGUAGAUUACUUAAUCAUGUUGUUGUCAGAUUCUAUAACGUGGAACAUUUGUAACGGAUCUACUCCUUCACAUUCUCGAAAAGGAGAAAAUCGCAACUAAAAUCGCAGCAAAAAUCGCCCGUGUAAACUAGCCUUUACAUUAUUAUAUAAAAUUCUCAACGACUUUGGUGCACCAAAUUUGAAAGAGUUCUUGAUGAGGAGGAAUUCUUUAGAAACUAAUUGUGACUCAGAAAUUCUCGCACUGAUCUGGCCCUUCCUAAACCGAGACGCAAGUUUCUUGAAAAAGUUUUAAGUACAAUGGCGGUAAGCUUUGGAAUAAUCUUCCGGGCACAGCUAAGGAAGCGCAAUCAAUUUAUUCUUUCAAAAACUUUGUAAAUUAAUUUCAUGGUUAGAUAGAAACAACUAUAGUUCUUUAUAUACGGCCGAAUCACACCAAUUUAAUUGAAUAUUUUUCAUCUCUUGUAAAAAGUUAUAUAUCUUUGUAAAAAGCUAUAUAUCUUUGUAGACUUCAAUGAUCUGGUUUCUUGCACUUCACUUGGUGGUAUUAAUAUUCGAAUGCUGUUCUUAGGGUUUUUAAUCCAAGUUAGUAUAAACUCACUUGGAUUACAAACCCUAAGAACAGCAUUUGAAUAUAUCUUUGUACUCUUUCAAAAACUUUGUAAAUUAAUUUUAUAGUUAGAUAGAAACAACUAUAGUUCUUAAUAUACCACCGAAUCACAUCAAUUUAAUUGAAUAUUUUUUUAAAUCUCUUGUAAAAAGCUAUAUAUCUUUGUAACUAACUUUUACUUGUGAUAAUGACACCGCUUGUGGAAAUGAACUCUUGCUCUUGACAAGGCUAGAGUCAUUAUAUAAAGCUACACAUACAUACAUAUAUACGCACAUACACACAUAAUGUUAUAAUAACUACACAUACAAGUAACUAUAACCAACAGUCUCAGUUGGCGAGCACCAUACGACUUGGUUAAGCCUGCUUCUAUAGGUCUAGGGCAGAUUUUCGACGAAUCAGGGGUGCGAAGGUCUUUUUAGGGGUAGCCGGAACGAGUGUAGUAAUCCCCCUCGGCAAUUUACACUCCUGUACUUAAGAACAUAGCGAAGUACGAAGUCGUCCUCCAUUAUGAUGUAGUGGACGUUUUUGACGUUCUGCGCAUGCGCGAUUACAAGCCCGUGGGAGAAAAAAAGUUUUUUUUUUAUUUUGCAAAGCUUUAAUUUUAUAUCAAUCUUUCUGUGUUUCAGUUCUUUUUGCAAAUUUCAAUUUCGUAAAAGAGUAUUCCGAAGUACAAAACUGAUCAUGUUUUAUGUUGCUGAUCAUGUUUUAAGUGUUGGAGAAAUUUAAUCAAAUUAUUUUUCUUUUUCAGACAUCAACGAAUGUUCACAAGCAAACAUGUGUCACGCUGACGCAACAUGUACUAAUACACCAGGAUCAUACUUAUGCACUUGCAACACUGGUUACACAGGCAAUGGAAC
rnacentral:lncRNA from 1 species